UGGGGAAUAUUGGACAAUGGGCGCAAGCCUGAUCCAGCCAUGCCGCGUGUGUGAAGAAGGCCUUCGGGUUGUAAAGCACUUUCAGCGAGGAGGAAGGGAGUUGUGUUAAUAGCACAGCUUCUUGACGUUACUCGCAGAAGAAGCACCGGCUAACUCUGUGCCAGCAGCCGCGGUAAUACAGAGGGUGCAAGCGUUAAUCGGAAUUACUGGGCGUAAAGCGCACGUAGGCGGUUUUUAAGUCAGAUGUGAAAGCCCCGGGCUCAACCUGGGAAUUGCAUUUGAAACUGGAAAACUAGAGUGUGUGAGAGGGGGGUAGAAUUCCAAGUGUAGCGGUGAAAUGCGUAGAGAUUUGGAGGAAUACCAGUGGCGAAGGCGGCCCCCUGGCACAACACUGACGCUCAGGUGCGAAAGCGUGGGGAGCAAACAGGAUUAGAUACCCUAGUAGUCCCUGAGCGGGCUGGCAAGGCGCAU
rnacentral:rRNA from 1 species